rnacentral:sRNA from 1 species
AUUAUGUUUAACUAUUUUAAUUGCUAAUUUAUGUUAUUUUUGUGUAUGUUAUUAUGUAGUUAAUAAAGUUAUAUUUUAUUUUAGGUAAUUAUACUUGUAUAGUUAGAUUCACUUUUGAUUCAAAUAUCAAUUAUAUUUUUUUCAUGUAUAAAUCUUCUUAUCUAUAUACCCAAGUUUUUAAACUUUUUUAACUAUCAUAAAAUACUUACAUCAACAAUAUGAUACAAUGUUAUGCAAUUAUGCUACUUAUUUGGUUUGAAAGUUGGGAGAUUUACAAAACUACCCUUUUUUAUUACCCUUUUGCAACAAUAUCCUUUUAUGUUGUCCAUUUUUAAAAAUACCCCUUCCCUUGAACAAAAUGACCAAAUUACCCUCAUCUAAUAGGAACAUGUAAUUGGAAACUGAAAUUUUCCCGCCAAUUUUUGUGCGCCAAAAUUUAUUUUUCCCGCCAAAAAAAAAUUCCCGAUAAACUUUUUUUCCGCAAAA